rnacentral:lncRNA from 1 species
CAUUCAUAAAAACUGAAGGAGGGUCACCGAAAUCAAGUCUUUGUCUUUUCUAACUCUUAAAAUGUUUUAAUAAUUAAGAUAUGGAAUAUCAAUAUUCCAAAGUAAUAUUUAGAGAAACUAUAUGCUUCCUUCUUAAGAUGAAAUUAAAAUCUGCUUAUUAUGCACAUAUUUUUUAUCUCUAGUAGAUCUUUAAAAAGUAAAAGAAACCCAAGCCUUUAUUCAGCUCCUCAUUGACCUUUUUCCCUGCACACUCUCAUACAGGGAUGUUCACAAGUUUUGAGAACAAAUUUAGGAGUUUCAUCUAAGACAUGCAUUAAAAAUGAGUA